rnacentral:rRNA from 1 species
AUUGAACGCUGGCGGCAUGCUUUACACAUGCAAGUCGGACGGCAGCACAGAGAAGCUUGCUUCUUGGGUGGCGAGUGGCGAACGGGUGAGUAAUAUAUCGGAACGUACCGAGUAAUGGGGGAUAACUAAUCGAAAGAUUAGCUAAUACCGCAUAUUCUCUGAGGAGGAAAGCAGGGGACCUUCGGGCCUUGCGUUAUUCGAGCGGCCGAUAUCUGAUUAGCUAGUUGGUGGGGUAAAGGCCUACCAAGGCGACGAUCAGUAGCGGGUCUGAGAGGAUGAUCCGCCACACUGGGACUGAGACACGGCCCAGACUCCUACGGGAGGCAGCAGUGGGGAAUUUUGGACAAUGGGCGCAAGCCUGAUCCAGCCAUGCCGCGUGUCUGAAGAAGGCCUUCGGGUUGUAAAGGACUUUUGUCAGGGAAGAAAAGGCUGUUGCCAAUACCGACAGCUGAUGACGGUACCUGAAGAAUAAGCACCGGCUAACUACGUG